rnacentral:lncRNA from 1 species
CCAAACUCAAAGACCAUGACCACACUAAUAUCCGCUGGUGUGGUUAUUAUGCAAUGAAAACUACAAAUACAUAUGGACCAAAAGCCUACUAAAACUUGAAGAAAAUAAUAAAUUAAAGAAAUUCCAAGCUUUACCAUAAACAGCUGUAACUUAAAUCUUAAAUCCCUUGGACACACUUUACAGGAGGAAGUCAAUGGGAUGAAGCCAGAGCAGAAGAUGACUGAGCAGAAAUUAACAAAGUACAUCAGUCCCAGCAUGUCCUUGAGGAGUACCUGGAACAACUAAUCUCGGGAGUCUGUGCUUCCUCUAGAGUACCAGUCAUACUUUGAGACAAAAAAAAAAGACAGGACCGAGAGGAGGAUUUAAAGACUGUGUGGGAGGCGUGGUCAGAGCAACAAUAACAAUGACCAGUCUUUGUUAGAUGCCUACUGCUCCUCAGGCAGUAAUCCCAUUGAAUACACCUCCUCAAACACAGGCCCACAUGUGAUGAAGACAGGAUUCUAAGGUUUGGCACUUCUUCAAAUUGGAUUAGUUGGAGGAUGUUUCAAAGUUGGAAAGUUAUGUGUGUUACCCUUGGCACUGGAUGAUUGCAACAGUAAGUGGCAACUGGGAUAUUUCUCCAGAGCUUCUACAACAACAAAUUGAGAGUUUCACAAGCACCUGGGGCCCAGCAGACGUUGGGAAGCCUAUUCUGGGACUCGCCUCCAUCUAAAUGAUUUGAAAAUUCAGCUCCUGAACACAGCCAGAUUGCUGUCAGCAAUUCGAAUAAGUUUUAACAACACUGGAUCCACCUCAAGAGAAUAAUGAGGAAGAGAGGAGAAGGAAAAAAGGCAAGCAGGCAGGGAAGGACAGAGGAAAGAAAAAGAAAGAUUGUUUUGGUAGAAACUGGAAGUGAGCGAUGAGAAACAGCUUUAGUCACCUCGGAACAGGAAGGCUACUCUUAGAGAAGACACACAGAUCUCUGAGAGCUUUAACCAAAAACAGGCUGAAUUCAAGCACUUCAAUAGAGAAAUUCUCCAUCACAGAAUAAAAUAUUUGUUUACUACACUGGAUAGAGAUGACGUAGCUAACAUUUGUCAUUUCCAGAAACCUUGUUUACAUUUGGGAAAUUCCCCACAUUAAUGGUCCUGGUGGGAGACAGGACCAAAUUCCAGAGAGGUGCUGAAAAUAC